rnacentral:rRNA from 1 species
CAAGUCGUGGGGCAGCAUGUCCCGCAGCAAUGCGGGAUGAUGGCGACCGGCAAACGGGUGCGGAACACGUACACAACCUUCCUUUAAGUGGGGAAUAGCCCGGGGAAACCCGGAUUAAUACCCCGUAAUAUAAUGAAGUGGCAUCACUUUAUUAUUAUAGCUCCGGCGCUUGAAGAUGGGUGUGCGACUGAUUAGGCAGUUGGCGGGGUAACGGCCCACCAAACCUACGAUCAGUAACUGGUGUGAGAGCACGACCAGUCACACGGGCACUGAGACACGGGCCCGACUCCUACGGGAGGCAGCAGUAAGGAAUAUUGGUCAAUGGACGCAAGUCUGAACCAGCCAUGCCGCGUGGAGGAUGAAGGUCCUCUGGAUUGUAAACUUCUUUUAUCUGGGAAGAAAUGCAUUUUUUCUAAAGUGCUUGACGGUACCAGGUGAAUAAGCACCGGCUAACUCCGUGCCAGCAGCCGCGGUAAUACGGAGGGUGCAAGCGUUAUCCGGAUUCACUGGGUUUAAAGGGUGCGUAGGCGGGUUGGUAAGUCAGUGGUGAAAUCUCCAGGCUUAACUUGGAAACUGCCAUUGAUACUAUCAAUCUUGAAUACCGUGGAGGUCAGCGGAAUAUGUCAUGUAGCGGUGAAAUGCUUAGAUAUGACAUAGAACACCAAUUGCGAAGGCAGCUGGCUACACGAAUAUUGACACUGAUGCACGAAAGCGUGGGGAUCAAACAGGAUUAGAUACCCUGGUAGUCCACGCCCUAAACGAUGGAUACUCGACAUACGCGAUAUACUGUGUGUGUCUGAGCGAAAGCAUUAAGUAUCCCACCUGGGAAGUACGAUCGCAAGAUUGAAACUCAA